UGGUAAAACAUAUUUCAACUCUCUCCUCUUUCUCUCUCUCUAGGGUUUUGUUUUUCAUCGAUUGCACGAAAAAUUCCCCAAUUGUUCGUAUCUAUUCGAUCGAAAUGGAAAAUGGAGGCGGAGAUUUGGAGGCGAAAAUUGAGAUGUUGAUGAAUGUGGAGAGCAGAUGAGGCAAGUGGGUGAUGUUGCAGGUACGAGGAAGGCCGUCACACCUCUUGCAAUUCUUCUUCUCACACCUCAAACAAUACCCCUCAUUUUCUCCCUCCAAGAAAGCCAAAGCCGGCGAAGGAGAGACGCCGCAGUUCAGUCCUCCCACCGCCAAAAUACCCUCACCCAACCCCACAAUCAAACCAUUUCCCUUCUCCUCUGGUCACUUCUCCGAGGAAAAAAGUUAAAGAAAGCAGGUGUCAUUGCUAAGAGGAUAUGAAUCAGACAGGAGACCUGCAAACUUGACAAUGAUGGCUUUCAGAAGGCAUAUUCCGUUGAUUUCAGACCACUCAAUGUACUGCCCGCUGCUGCAUUCCAAGGGGCUCAUUAUAUUUCACCAUUGAAAAGGCAAAUAAUCUCGUAUGCAUCUGGUAACCAAGCUUGUACACUCGUUUAAGGAAGGUUCGGAGGAAUGGUCCAAGAAGGCGGUAGAGCUUGAGGAGUCAUGAAGACUUUAGAAUUACAUUUGCUACACUUGGUGAGAACACCAGAUGAUGUCCCUGGAUGUGCUUCUUAGUGCCGGUGUUCUGUGGUGCAGGUGACUAUUUAUAUGCUAUCAUAUCAUGUUUAUCAUUUGUCCCCUACACUCUUAUGCAGAACCCAUUCAUUAGUUCAUUGGUUGUGCGAGCUAUUCUUUUGAGGGGCUAGGUGUGUUAGUGCUCUCCUGCAUUUACCUUUUUAUGCUCUUGAAGUGUUGAAGGAGUAAAAUUCAAGUCCAUACUCGACAAUAGAUAUUGGGUGG